CAUGCAGUCGAGCGGCAGCGGAAAGUAGCUUGCUACUUUGCCGGCGAGCGGCGGACGGGUGAGUAAUGUCUGGGAAACUGCCUGAUGGAGGGGGAUAACUACUGGAAACGGUGGCUAAUACCGCAUAACGUCGCAAGACCAAAGUGGGGGACCUUCGGGCCUCACGCCAUCGGAUGUGCCCAGAUGGGAUUAGCUAGUAGGUGGGGUAAUGGCUCACCUAGGCGACGAUCCCUAGCUGGUCUGAGAGGAUGACCAGCCACACUGGAACUGAGACACGGUCCAGACUCCUACGGGAGGCAGCAGUGGGGAAUAUUGCACAAUGGGCGCAAGCCUGAUGCAGCCAUGCCGCGUGUGUGAAGAAGGCCUUCGGGUUGUAAAGCACUUUCAGCGAGGAGGAAGGCAUCACACUUAAUACGUGUGGUGAUUGACGUUACUCGCAGAAGAAGCACCGGCUAACUCCGUGCCAGCAGCCGCGGUAAUACGGAGGGUGCAAGCGUUAAUCGGAAUUACUGGGCGUAAAGCGCACGCAGGCGGUUUGUUAAGUCA
rnacentral:rRNA from 1 species